rnacentral:rRNA from 1 species
GACAGAGGUGCCGAGCGUUAGGCGGAAUCACUGGGCUUAAAGCGUGUGUAGGCGGUUCUGUAAGUACCUUGUGAAAUCCCACGGCUCAACCGUGGAACUGCUCGGUAUACUGCGGAUCUUGAGCCACCUAGGGGCAACCGGAACAAAUGGUGGAGCGGUGAAAUGCGUAGAUAUCAUUUGGAACGCCAAUGGUGAAAACAGGUUGCUGGGGGUGUGCUGACGCUGAGACACGAAAGCCAGGGGAGCGAACGGG